rnacentral:lncRNA from 1 species
GACAAAUGAAGAUAUCGAUUUGUUUCCUAAUUGUAUAAUGAGUACUUAAUUGUAAUCAGAUAUCAUAAAAACUUAUGAGUUUUUUAAUGAGGUUAUAAAAAAAUACAAACAUAUUCAUUCAUUGAAAAUUUGUGAAGGUGCUAAAUAGGAAGUUAAAAAGUACAUAUUUCGAUAUGCAUCAGAUUAGUUUGUUGCUAAUUUUAAUAUAACCAUAGUGGAAAUCCAAGUUUUUUAUUAAAAUAAAAUAAUAACCAAACUUAUUCUUAAAAUAGUGAAAGGUGUUGAGUAAAAAUUGUAUUAUGAAAAUUGAAACGAAUAUAUUUUCGAUUUUUUUGGACAAAAGUAUCAAAGAUUCGCUACAGUUUCUGCAAGUAAAAAGUUUUUACUGUUUGACGAUGAUAACAUUCUUAAAUUUUGCAAAGCAAACAAACUAAGAAAAAUACAGAAAAUCAAGGAGAUUACAAAAUUGUUAACAUAAUCAGUUUAAUAUUUUAUGAGUGACAUAUCAUUUAUUGGCAAAUCUUUCUCCAAAAUUGUCAUUGAGAUUAAUAAUGCCAGCAUGAAUUCCAACCGACUUUAUUAUGGAUUGAUAAGAGAUGUUUAAUGUUACAAAUCUCUAUUACAAUAAUGCAGUAAUAAUUUUGUUUCCAAUCGUAAAAGGUGCUAGAAUACAAUACCGAUCAGGCAGCCUUAGUUGUUGUUAUUGUUGUGCAACUUGCAAGACAACAUUAGGAUCAUUUUCCCAUUGAAUCAUUGGUGAUAGGCCUGGUUGAAUUCUCCAAUGUCCACCAUUAUACAGUGUAUGAACGUGGCGUAUAUUUCGUAUUAAUUCAACAAUACGAUCCAUGCUGACUGGCCCAACACAACUAUUAUCACUCAAUACAUUCUGAUUAUGAAUGUAGCCCACCAUAAGGGAGUUCAACUCACGUAAUCUUCUGAAAUUGUUUGGAUCAACAAUCUCUACAGCAUCUGAUUCAAAAUCAUUUGAUGGAUCAUCAUGGCGACUUGAUGGGCCUAUAAAAAUAUUUCCUGGCAUCCAUAUAUAUCUAGAAAUAAAAGACUCGAAGGAAUCCAUAAGCAAAGCAACUGGAAUUAUAUGAUGUCUAGCGGCGUUAACCACUUCGUUCGGUCCCAAUUGAAUUUGCAUUAUGCUACCAAUGACUCUUCUACCAUCUGGUCGUGAAUUUAUAUACAAUGGAGAUGUGUAGUAUUCGUCCCAUUCUCCUCCAGAGAAAACUGGACAACCGGCUGAGCUUUGUGUUACAUUAGGACGAAUAGCAAUAGAAACACCACAUAAAGUAAUUAAGGUGAAAAAUAAUCGUAACAUGAUGAAGACUGUACAACGAACGACUGUUGAUGUGCUGCUAUAUGAGUAGGAUUUAUAUACACUUGCUCGUGGCGGCAGCAGUGUAAUACUUUGCAUAAACACCGAUAAGAGACAAAUGUGUAUUAAGUGCAGAUAGAAAAAAACGUAUUUGAAAAAUGUUUGGUUUAAAAUGAAUUUUUUCUAAUCUUUUACUAUCUAUAGUUGUUAAAUUUUGUACUGAUAUUUAAAAACAAACUGUAUCACUAAGACAUAUAAA